rnacentral:rRNA from 1 species
UACGAAGGGGGCUAGCGUUGCUCGGAAUGACUGGGCGUAAAGGGCGCGUAGGCGGAUUGGUCAGUCAGACGUGAAAUUCCUGGGCUUAACCUGGGGGCUGCGUUUGAGACGGCUGAUCUAGAGUGGGGAAGAGGGUCGUGGAAUUCCGAGUGUAGAGGUGAAAUUCGUAGAUAUUCGGAAGAACACCAGUGGCGAAGGCGACUCACUGGACACAUAUUGACGCUGAGGUGCGAAAGCGUGGGGAGCAAACAGG